GCAGAGCACCGCGCCUUAGCCGCGAAGUUCUAGUUCUUGCUGCCGGUCCUAACGUCCCGCAGUCUUCGCCAGCCAGCCGUCCCGCAUGCGCGUUUGGGCGGCGUGGAGCCUGCUGCCAUGAAGUCAGCGAGAGCUAAGACACCCCGGAAACCUACCGUGAAAAAAGGGUCCCAAACGAACCUUAAAGACCCAGUUGGGGUAUACUGUAGGGUGCGCCCACUGGGCUUUCCUGAUCAAGAGUGUUGCAUAGAAGUGAUCAAUAAUACAACUGUUCAGCUUCAUACUCCUGAGGGCUACAGACUCAACCGAAAUGGAGACUAUAAGGAGACUCAGUAUUCAUUUAAACAAGUAUUUGGCACUCACACCACCCAGAAGGAACUCUUUGAUGUUGUGGCUAAUCCCUUGGUCAAUGACCUCAUUCAUGGCAAAAAUGGUCUUCUUUUUACAUAUGGUGUGACGGGAAGUGGAAAAACUCACACAAUGACUGGUUCUCCAGGGGAAGGAGGGCUGCUUCCUCGUUGUUUGGACAUGAUCUUUAACAGUAUAGGGUCAUUUCAAGCUAAACGAUAUGUUUUCAAAUCUAAUGAUAGGAAUAGUAUGGAUAUACAGUGUGAGGUUGAUGCCUUAUUAGAACGUCAGAAAAGAGAAGCUAUGCCCAAUCCAAAGACUUCUUCUAGCAAACGACAAGUAGAUCCAGAGUUUGCAGAUAUGAUAACUGUACAAGAAUUCUGCAAAGCAGAAGAGGUUGAUGAAGAUAGUGUCUAUGGUGUAUUUGUCUCUUAUAUUGAAAUAUAUAAUAAUUACAUAUAUGAUCUAUUGGAAGAGGUGCCGUUUGAUCCCAUAAAACCCAAGUGGAACAGUUGCAGCACACCCAUGAGGAACACAGAUUUUGUACCUCCACAAUCUAAAUUGCUUCGUGAAGAUAAGAACCAUAACAUGUAUGUUGCAGGAUGUACAGAAGUUGAAGUGAAAUCUACUGAGGAGGCUUUUGAAGUUUUCUGGAGAGGCCAGAAAAAGAGACGUAUUGCUAAUACCCAUUUGAAUCGUGAGUCCAGCCGUUCCCAUAGCGUGUUCAACAUUAAAUUAGUUCAGGCUCCCUUGGAUGCAGAUGGAGACAAUGUCUUACAGGUAAAGUUGUAGUAUGUGGAGUUUUUCUGGUUCUAACUCUAUCCUUAAUUUUUGGAAUUAGAGUAAUCCAGCCAACAUGGCAAAAACCUGUCUCGAGUAAAAUUGGAAAAAUCAGCCAGGCAUGGUGAUGCACCACUCCUGUAAUCCCAGCUACUUGUGUACCUGAGGCAGGAGGAUCGCUUGAACCUGGGAGGCAGAGGAAAAAGAACAAAUCACUAUAAGUCAGUUGUCCUUGGUAGAUCUUGCUGGAAGUGAAAGAACUAACCGGACCAGAGCAGAAGGGAACAGAUUACGUGAAGCUGGUAAUAUUAAUCAGUCACUAAUGACGCUAAGAACAUGUAUGGAUGUCCUAAGAGAGAACCAAAUGUAUGGAACUAACAAGAUGGUUCCAUAUCGAGAUUCAAAGUUAACCCAUCUGUUCAAGAACUACUUUGAUGGGGAAGGAAAAGUGCGGAUGAUCGUGUGUGUGAACCCCAAGGCUGAAGAUUAUGAAGAAAACUUGCAAGUCAUGAGAUUUGCGGAAGUGACUCAAGAAGUUGAAGUAGCAAGACCUGUAGACAAGGCAAUAUGUGGUUUAACGCCUGGGAGGAGAUACAGAAACCAGCCUCGAGGUCCAGUUGGAAAUGAACCAUUGGUUACUGACGUGGUUUUGCAGAGUUUUCCACCUUUGCCAUCAUGCGAAAUUUUGGAUAUCAACGAUGAGCAGACACUUCCAAGGCUGAUUGAAGCCUUAGAGAAACGACAUAACUUACGACAAAUGAUGAUUGAUGAGUUUAACAAACAAUCUAAUGCUUUUAAAGCUUUGUUACAAGAAUUUGACAAUGCUGUUUUAAGUAAAGAAAACCACAUGCAAGGGAAACUAAAUGAAAAGGAGAAGAUGAUCUCAGGACAGAAAUUGGAAAUAGAACGACUGGAAAAGAAAAACAAAACUUUAGAAUAUAAGAUUGAGAUUUUAGAGAAAACAACUACUAUCUAUGAGGAAGAUAAACGCAAUUUGCAACAGGAACUUGAAACUCAGAACCAGAAACUUCAGCGACAGUUUUCUGACAAACGCAGAUUAGAAGCCAGGUUGCAAGGCAUGGUGACAGAAACGACAAUGAAGUGGGAGAAAGAAUGUGAGCGUAGAGUGGCAGCCAAACAGCUGGAGAUGCAGAAUAAACUCUGGGUUAAAGAUGAAAAGCUGAAACAACUGAAGGCUAUUGUUACCGAACCUAAAACUGAGAAGCCAGAGAGACCCUCUCGGGAGCGAGAUCGAGAAAAAGUUACUCAAAGAUCUGUUUCUCCAUCACCUGUGCCUCUUUCUAGUAACUAUAUUGCUCAGAUUUCCAACGGCCAGCAACUCAUGAGCCAGCCACAGCUACAUAGGCGCUCUAACUCUUGCAGCAGCAUUUCUGUAGCUUCCUGUAUUUCGGAAUGGGAGCAGAAAAUUCCUACGUACAACACACCUCUCAAAGUCACAUCUAUUGCAAGGCGUAGGCAGCAGGAGCCAGGACAAAGCAAAACUUGUAUCGUGUCAGACAGAAGGCGAGGGAUGUACUGGACUGAAGGCAGGGAGGUGGUUCCUACAUUCAGAAAUGAGAUAGAAAUAGAAGAGGAUCAUUGCGGCAGGUUACUCUUUCAACCUGAUCAGAACGCACCACCAAUUCGUCUCCGACACAGACGAUCACGCUCUGCAGGAGACAGAUGGGUAGAUCAUAAGCCCGCCUCUAACAUGCAAACUGAAACAGUCAUGCAGCCACAUGUCCCUCAUGCCAUCACAGUAUCUGUUGCAAAUGAAAAGGCACUAGCUAAGUGUGAGAAGUACAUGCUGACCCACCAGGAACUAGCCUCCGAUGGGGAGAUUGAAACUAAACUAAUUAAGGGUGAUAUUUAUAAAACAAGGGGUGGUGGACAAUCUGUUCAGUUUACUGAUAUUGAGACUUUAAAGCAAGAAUCACCAAAUGGUAGUCGAAAACGAAGAUCUUCCACAGUAGCACCUGCCCAACCAGAUGGUGCAGAGUCUGAAUGGACCGAUGUAGAAACAAGGUGUUCUGUGGCUGUGGAGAUGAGAGCAGGAUCCCAGCUGGGACCUGGAUAUCAGCAUCACGCACAACCCAAGCGCAAAAAGCCAUGAACUGACAGUCCCAGUACUGAAAGAACAUUUUCAUUUGUGUGGAUGAUUUCUCGAAAGCCAUGCCAGAAGCAGUCUUCCAGGUCAUCUUGUAGAACUCCAGCUUUGUUGAAAAUCACGGACCUCAGCUACAUCAUACACUGACCCAGAGCAAAGCUUUCCCUAUGGUUCCAAAGACAACUAGUAUUCAACAAACCUUGUAUAGUAUAUGUUUUGCCAUAUUUAAUAUUAAUAGCAGAGGAAGACUCCUUUUUUCAUCACUGUAUGAAUUUUUUAUAAUGUUUUUUUAAAAUAUAUUUCAUGUAUACUUAUAAACUAAUUCACACAAGUGUUUGUCUUAGAUGAUUAAGGAAGACUAUAUCUAGAUCAUGUCUGAUUUUUUAUUGUGACUUCUCCAGCCCUGGUCUGAAUUUCUUAAGGUUUUAUAAACAAAUGCUGCUAUUUAUUAGCUGCAAGAAUGCACUUUAGAACUAUUUGACAAUUCAGACUUUCAAAAUAAAGAUGUAAAUGACUGGCCAAUAAUAACCAUUUUAGGAAGGUGUUUUGAAUUCUGUAUGUAUAUAUUCACUUUCUGACAUUUAGAUAUGCCAAAAGAAUUAAAAUCAAAAGCACUAAGAAAUACA